rnacentral:rRNA from 1 species
UACGAAGGGUGCAAGCGUUAAUCGGAAUUACUGGGCGUAAAGCGUGCGCAGGCGGUUUUGUAAGACCGAUGUGAAAUCCCCGGGCUCAACCUGGGAACUGCAUUGGUGACUGCAAGGCUUGAGUGUGUCAGAGGGAGGUGGAAUUCCGCGUGUAGCAGUGAAAUGCGUAGAUAUGCGGAGGAACACCGAUGGCGAAGGCAGCCUCCUGGGAUAACACUGACGCUCAUGCACGAAAGCGUGGGGAGCAAACAGG